GACGUAGGAGGCGAGCGUUAUCCGGAUUCACUGGGCGUAAAGCGCAUGUAGGCGGUUCGUCAAGUCGUGUGUUAAAGCCCCUGGCUCAACUGGGGGAGGUCAUGCGAGACUGACGGACUUGAGGGCAGUAGAGGCACGUGGAACUCCCGGUGUAGCGGUGGAAUGCGUAGAGAUCGGGAAGAACACCCGUGGCGAAGGCGACGUGCUGGGCUGUACCUGACGCUGAGGUGCGAAAGUGUGGGGAGCAAACGGG
rnacentral:rRNA from 1 species